UGUAUCAUAAUAAUUCUCCUUCCUAACUUAGAAAUAUUUAAAUAUUGCUAGUGAUGUUUACAGAAAGUUCCGUGGAAACUUGGUGUUUAUUAAUCCUAUUUUAAUUACGAGUACUUUAGCUUCUCUCGAAGUCCGAAGUUUAACCUUUUAUCUGCAUAUGUCUGUCUGUUACGACUUCAAGGUUACCUGUUCAGGGAUCAUCAAUGGAUUCAACUUAUUAAAUUAUUAAGUACAACAUAUGUCUAUGUGAACAAUUUCUUAAAAUUAAUAAGUAAAAAAAUAGAUUAAUGUGAGGUAACAGUAAUAUUUCUAUACUGAAAUAGUUUAAUCACAUGAAUACUAGGAUUAUGCAAGGUAAUAAGGUUCUCUCGAAUUAUUACAAACUUUAACCUAAUUCUCUCGAAUAUAGAUUAAUCAUGCACCAUUCAGAUAGUGUGUCAAUUAAUCACAAUUCGGUUAGGAUUUAAUAAUUAAUCCAGUCGCAUGGCCCACAUUUAUAAUGCAUGAAUAGCAUAGUUACAAUUUUAUCUUAAUGCAUAAACAGUUGAGAAACGUAACAUUACCAACAGUAUAAAUAAUAUAAUCUAUGGAAAUUAAAUUAUUCUAACACCGAAGGAAUUAAAGAAUCAUAAUUAUAUUUAAAAUAUAAAAGUUAAUUGCAAAAAUGGUUUUUAAAUUGAACAAUAAGAAAUUAAAAGAGUAAAGGGAAAGAAAUGCAAAGUCGUUUCUGAUGGUUCUCCAUGGCACAGCUUCCUUGAUCCUCACUUGUGCUUCACUCCUUGCCGAAGCAAUCUAGCCAAAAUGCUCCUCGAAUGGUUGAAUGGGUUGCUUUCAAAUCCUUGCACAACUCACUUGAAAAAUGGGAAAGUAAAACAAAGAGAGAAAAGAGAG
rnacentral:lncRNA from 1 species